rnacentral:lncRNA from 1 species
GAUGAUGUAUAUACUUCUAGCACCCCGUUGGUUACCCCAAGUGGAAGGUUGAGAUGUAGUUAGCAGCAAGUUUUCCCUUACACAGAGACUUUAAGGUUUAUCGAACCAAGAGGACUCCUAUGAUCAACAAGUAGGUGUCUCAUGUCUUGGUCAGCAGAAGACAUGGACCUGCACACACAACAAAUAACUUUACUCCCAACGAGUAGAGAGAGGUUGUCAAUCUCUCCGGCCUUGUAGUUUGCAAAGGAUCAAAACACAAGCGGGAAAGUAAUAGUGAUUGCAGCAGAAAAGUAAAUAAAAACGGUAAAUGAUGGAGGUGUAAACAAUGAUGGUGAUAUGGACCGGAG